UGAAAUGCGAUAAGUAAUGUGAAUUGCAGAAUUCAGUGAAUCAUCGAAUCUUUGAACGCACCUUGCGCUCCUUGGUAUUCCUUGGAGCAUGCCUGUUUGAGUAUCAUGAAAUCUUCAAAGUAAAUCUUUUGUUAACUCAAUUGGUUUCUACUUUGGUAUUGGAGGUCUUUGCAGCUUCACACCUGCUCCUCUUUGUUCAUUAGCUGGAUCUCAGUGUUAUGCUUGGUUCCACUCGGCGUGAUAAGUUAUCUAUCGCUGAGGACACUGUAAAAGGUGGCCAAGGUAAAUGCAGAUGAACCGCUUCUAAUAGUCCAUUGACUUGGACAAUACUUUUAUGAUCUGAUCUCAAAUCAGGUAGGACUACCCGCUGAACUUAAGC
rnacentral:misc_RNA from 1 species